CGUUCUGCCUCAGCUCCCCCAAGUCCCCCGACCUUCUUCAACUAUAUUUUUCAAGAUGACUUUUUUUUAAAAAAUCUUUUAUGUUUUGGAAUCCAGAUGGUUUGGUAGACAAAACCACGUGUCACAAAAGUCUGACAAUCUGUGUUCAAUCCCCAGACCCUGAAAAGAGAGGGGAACAGACUCCCAACACUUGCCCUCUAACUUCCAUACAUGUGAGUGAACAUACUCAUGAAUGUGUAACACACACAUGCACAAUAUUCAUUACAUGCUUUUUUGUUUUAAGUUUUACAUCGAGGGGAUGGACAGAGGGCUCUGCACUUAAGAGCAUUUGCAGUUCUUGCAAAAGACACAGCUUCAGUUCCCAGGCAUCCACAUCAGAUCCACAGUCACCUUAAACUCCUGUUCUGGGGGAUCCUCAGGAACCUGCACGCCCAUGGUGCAUACAGAGAGGCAGAUAUGCACACAUGUAAAAUUGAAAAACUUCAUAGAAAUUUAGAUUAAUGAAGGAAACUUUUACAAUUUCGAUGCUUCAUAAUUCACAUUUCGUACCCAGCAACAAGAAAUAAGGCCAGUGCAAGUAAUUAUGAUGUGGCUGGGUUUCCAACAAUGUCACAUCAGAGUUCACAGCCAUACUCUAUCUCGCUGCUUAGUCCCCUUUUCAUUUUAUAACGAUGUCAGGCCAGCAUCUGCCAAGUCACAGGCUGCGGAGUUUU
rnacentral:lncRNA from 1 species